rnacentral:rRNA from 1 species
AUGACUGUACCCGAAUAAGAAGGUCCGGCUAACUUCGUGCCAGCAGCCGCGGUAAUACGAAGGGACCUAGCGUAGUUCGGAAUUACUGGGCUUAAAGAGUUCGUAGGUGGUUAAAAUAGUUGGUGGUGAAAUCCCAGAGCUUAACUCUGGAACUGCCAUCAAAACUUUUUAGCUAGAGUUUGAUAGAGGAAAGCAGAAUUUCUAGUGUAGAGGUGAAAUUCGUAGAUAUUAGAAAGAAUACCAAUUGCGAAGGCAGCUUUCUGGAUCAUUACUGACACUGAGGAACGAAAGCAUGGGUAGCGAAGAGGAUUAGAUACCCUCGUAGUCCAUGCCGUAAACGAUGUGUGUUAGACGUUGGAAAUUUAUUUUCAGUGUCGCAGCGAAAGCAUUAAACACACCGCCUGGGGAGUACGACCGCAAGGUUAAAACUCAAAUGAAUUGACGGGGACCCGCACAAGUAGUGGAGCAUGUGGUUUAAUUCGAAGAUACGCGCAGAACCUUACCAACACUUGACAUGUUCGUCGCGACUUUAAGAGAUUAAAGUUUUCGGUUCGGCCGGACGAAACACAGGUGCUGCAUGGCUGUCGUCAGCUCGUGUCGUGAGAUGUUGGGUUAAGUCCCGCAACGAGCGCAACCCUCACUUUUAGUUGCCAUCAUUUAGUUGGGCACUCUGAAAGAACUGCCAGUGAUAAGCUGGAGGAAGGUGGGGAUGACGUCAAGUCCUCAUGGCCCUUACGUGUUGGGCUACACACGUGCUACAAUGGCAUUUACAAUAGGAAGCAAGAUGGCGACAUCAAGCAAAUCCUAAAAAAAUGCCUCAGUUCGGAUUGUACUCUGCAACUCGAGUACAUGAAGCUGGAAUUACUAGUAAUCGCGGAUCAGCGCGCCGCGGUGAAUACGUUCC